GUUAGAGGCGCGCACGUUCAUCAGUACCUUAGGCUAGGCAGCGGAGGUCACAACCUAAGUGAAAGGGGAGUGCGCCGAAGGGUUACAGUUUCCGCAACUGCAACUUCUGGGUACAGGGUGAAUAAUCCUGUAACUGGCAUCUCGCGCGGGGUGGAGUGCUGCUGGU
rnacentral:ncRNA from 1 species